UACGUAGGUGGCAAGCGUUGUCCGGAAUUAUUGGGCGUAAAGAGCUCGUAGGCGGUUUGUCGCGUCUGCUGUGAAAACUCGGGGCUUAACCCCGGGCCUGCAGUGGGUACGGGCAGACUAGAGUGCGGUAGGGGAGACUGGAAUUCCUGGUGUAGCGGUGAAAUGCGCAGAUAUCGGGAGGAACACCAGUGGCGAAGGCGGCUUUCUGGCCUGUUCUUGACGCUGAGGCGCGAAAGCUAGGGUAGCAAACGGG
rnacentral:rRNA from 1 species